CAGCUCGUGUCGUGAGAUGUUGGGUUAAGUCCCGUAACGAGCGCAACCCUUGUCCUAGUUACCAGCACGUUAUGGUGGGCACUCUAAGGAGACUGCCGGUGACAAACCGGAGGAAGGUGGGGAUGACGUCAAGUCAUCAUGGCCCUUACGGCCUGGGCUACACACGUGCUACAAUGGUCGGUACAAAGGGGUUGCCAAGCCGGCGAGGUGGAGCUAAUCCCAUAAAACCGAUCGUAGUCCGGAUCGCAGUCUGCAACUCGACUGCGUGAAGUCGGAAUCGCUAGUAAUCGUGAACUCAGAAUCGUCACGGUGAAAUAACGUUCCGGUACCUU
rnacentral:rRNA from 1 species